UCCAAGAUUCGGGCCAUUUUGAGAUUAAUCUCUCCAAGAAUCGGGUCAUAUUGUCUCUCCAAGAAUUGAGCAGGGAUAAGUACUCAUCCCUCACACCCCAAGAUUAUCUUCUUCGUGUAUGGUUCAGCUUGUUGAAAAAAACAACAAAACAAGAAAAACAAAAAAAGAAUAAGUAGUUACCGUCACAUUACUGCUUCCGAAUCCACAAAAAAAAAUAGACUCAAAUAGCUUGCAAAUACUGCGAAUUGAUGUUCAACCAAAUGCAAGCACACGAGUUUAUAUAGAUCUUUAAAAGAAGAUGUUACAAUGAUGCUGCCGAUGUCGGAAUAAGUACUAAGGCGGUGGAAAUAACUUGUCUCCAAUAUGGACUUGGAUUGCAAUUAGACUUCAAAAAGGACUCAAUUAGGAGCAACUGUUGCCAGGUCCGUUUAAAAAAUAGAGUCCAAUUUGGUGAGGAAAAACAAAUUAAAACGAACACCACGAGCAACUGUUGCCAGAUCCGUUUAAAAAAAUAGAGUCCAAUUUGAUGAGGAAAAACAAAUUAAAAGGAACACCAUCAGUGCUUACAUUAGCAACAGUGAUAAGGAAAUUCCUUUUAAAGUGCUAUAAAUUAUUUUGCACUUCAACGUGUAAAUAGGAAAGAACGUAUUCAUCAUUAUUUCAAGCUAAUCACAGUUAGUAUUGGAUAUUUUGAUCUAUGAUGAUCAUUAUCUAAUAAACUAAUGAAGGACAUUUUCAUGAAAAAAAAUUGAAAAGAAGCGUUCUUCUUUUUACUUCAAGCCUAGUCUUCAAAUGUCUAAAAAUCUUGACAAGUCAUGAAGUAGGAGGCAUUUGUAGGCAUAUAAAUUUUAUUAAUUUGGAUUAUAUUUUAAAAUUUAAGAUACAUUAGUCCAAAUAAAUAUUAUGGACUAAUAUAAUCGAACUAAUUAUACAAGUUCAAUAUAUAUGGAUUAAAUAAAUAAGUCUUAGUCUAUUGGGUUAGCUCAUUUAAUUGGGCUAAAGUGACGAGCCCACUUCAUUAAGCCCAAGAUGAUAUCUUCCUAGAAGCCCAGUUUGGUAUUAUGACGUGGCGCGCCAAGUCAAACGGAAGAGCCAAUAGGAUCAUGCCACGUGUCAAAAUGACA
rnacentral:lncRNA from 1 species